rnacentral:rRNA from 1 species
UUGCUUUCUUGAUGACGACCAGCGAACGGGUGCGUAACACGUAUGGAACCUACCUUAUACAGGGGCAUAGCCCAGAGAAAUCUGGAUUAAUUUCCCAUAACAUCUGAGAGUGGCAUCACUUUUAGAUUAAAGCUUCGGCGGUAUAAGAUGGCCAUGCGGCCCAUUAGUUAGUUGGUGAGGUAACGGCUCACCAAGACCAUGAUGGGUAGGGGUUCUGAGAGGAUUAUCCCCCACACUGGUACUGAGACACGGACCAGACUCCUACGGGAGGCAGCAGUGAGGAAUAUUGCGCAAUGGACGAAAGUCUGACGCAGCCAUGCCGCGUGCAGGAUGACAGCCCUAUGGGUCGUAAACUGCUUUUAUAUGGGAAGAAACCCCUUCACGUGUGAAGGGCUGACGGUACCAUAUGAAUAAGCACCGGCUAACUCCGUGCCAGCAGCCGCGGUAAUACGGAGGGUGCAAGCGUUAUCCGGAUUUAUUGGGUUUAAAGGGUCCGUAGGCGGGUCUUUAAGUCAGUGGUGAAAGCCUGCAGCUCAACUGUAGAACUGCCAUUGAUACUG